ACCUACGGGGCGCAGCAGUGAGGAAUAUUGGUCAAUGGGCGGAAGCCUGAACCAGCCAAGUCGCGUGAGGGAAGAAGGCCCUGCGGGUCGCAGACCUCUUUGGACGGGGAGCAAGGCCGCCGACGUGUCGGCGGAAGGAGAGUACCCGUAGAACAAGCAUCGGCUAACUCCGUGCCAGCAGCCGCGGUAAUACGGAGGAUGCGAGCGUUAUCCGGAUUUACUGGGUGUAAAGGGAGCGUAGACGGAUAAGCAAGUCUGAUGUGAAAAUCCGGGGCCCAACCCCGGAAUUGCAUUGGAAACUGCAU
rnacentral:rRNA from 1 species